CAACUCACCACGUAAACAGUGGCGUAGGUGCGCAAACUGGGAGGGAUCUCGGAGAGCAUCAUACCCGCCGCAGCGCAGGCACAGCUCUUUGUCCACGGAUGGUGAUACUCAUAGCAGCUUGAAAAUCUAUGGAAUGCUGUUACAAAUAUGAUGAUCCAACUUGCUCGAUUCGCAGUAAAUCACGCUGGUCAUUCCUCGAAUCAGCUACAGCUGGUUAUCCACUUGGUCUCAGCUGAAGAUUGGAAUCCAUAGGAAAACACGACAAGCUUCAGCAAAGAACCAACGCUUACCCAAUGUUUAUUUAGUUGUUAUGGCACGUUGG